UACGUAGGGGGCAAGCGUUGUCCGGAUUUAUUGGGCGUAAAGAGCGUGUAGGCGGCCAUACAGGUCCGUUGUGAAAACUGGAGGCUUAACCUCCAGACGUCGAUGGAAACCGUAUGGCUAGAGUCCGGAAGAGGAGAGUGGAAUUCCUGGUGUAGCGGUGAAAUGCGCAGAUAUCAGGAGGAACACCGAUGGCGAAGGCAGCUCGCUGGGACGGUACUGACGCUAAGGCGCGAAAGCGUGGGGAGCGAACAGG
rnacentral:rRNA from 1 species